GCCGUCGUAGCACAAUGGUAGUGCGUUGCUUUCCUACUGAUCUUCUAAGAUCAUGAGUUAGGCAGAGGUUGUGGGUUCGAGCCCCACCGUCGGUU